rnacentral:lncRNA from 1 species
GAGUUUAUGAGAAUGAUAAAUUUUUGAGCUCCCUAAGUAAUUUGAGAAAUUGAGGAUAUUGCUUUAGUAAAGUUAUCACUCGUGAACUUUUAAUCCUUUUUAUGGUUUUGAGUAUUUUGAAAAAAAUAUUUGGUUUUGAGCAUUUUGAGAAAAUAAGAGUUUUUGAGAAAAUGUGGAUUUUGAGAAUUUUUGAGAAAAA